rnacentral:lncRNA from 1 species
AUUUAAGCCUGAUGACAAGUGUCUGGCAGUGUGUUGGAAACAUAACUUCCACGGUCCUUUCUGAGUGGUUGUAUCAACAAAGCUGUUCAAUCUUUGCACCCAGAGGUUGCAGUAAGUCUGGAUGCCACAUCAAACUGUUUGUGGUACUUCUAAACUUCGUGGAAGAGCCCUGUUUCAUAAAUCUGAGACAGCCUUGGUCUGAGGGAGCAAAGACAGAGAAUUCACGUGCUGCCCAGGCAUAGCCACAUAGCAGGUGGACAUCCCUGGACACUUUUCUGACCCUCAUUGGAUUUUCCUGGAAGUACGGAGAGUUACAUCCAGAGAACUCUGAACAUUUUGGAAGGACCCCAAUCCUGCAAACAAUGAAUGGCAAUAAAUCCUGGGACUGGAAAGGUCUUCCAAGAAACAAAAGGAAAUUUACCUAUUUCUUAAACAGAACAAAACCCAUUAUAUCUUGUAAUUACCAUGUGACAGCAUUGGACAAUUUUAAACAUGUAAGGCACUUUAUGGAAACUUCAUGAUCUUUUUUUUCUUAUAUUAAGCAUUUUCUAUUUCAUCAACAUAGGAACUGUUUCAUCAUUACUCAUCAAUCGUUCCUAACAAUGCUUAAAACUAAAACAAUGAAGAAGCAGAAUAAUGAAAUUGCCUAGAAAGAUGAUGCAACUGUAAAAUAUAUCAUUAUUGCCCCAUCAUCACUAUGAUUGUUUAUAGUGUUGACUGAAGUAUUACAUCAUCAUUCAAGAAGAUAUAAAAGAAGCCUGGAGACAUCUUUUUUUUUUUGAGACACCAUUUUUACAGCCUACUUUGUUUCACUGAACACAGUUUAUAAUUCAGAAUUAUUUUUUCCAUCCAUAACUUCAAAUAGAAGAAAAGUGACAGAGGAAGAUAUUUCAAAAUUAUUAAAUGAAUCAGAAGAUGAAUGCAGAAAGACAGAGAGCAGUAAGCUAGACUCUAAUGAUUAGGGUAAAAUUGAAAUUGAUUAUACAAGUGAAAUCUCAGACUAUGAGUCUUCAUAAGACAAUGAAUUUUCUUAAACUAUAGAAUCAAUGAGUGAACAAUGCAUUUCAAAGAGAAAAAAGGAAAUAUACUAUAGUAGUUCCCUCUUAUCCAUAAAAAAUGUAUUCCAAGAUAUCCAGUAGAUACCUGAAACAAUGAAUAAUGCUGAAUUCUAUGUAUGCUGUGUUUUCUUGAUCUGAAAACCGAGAUACCUAAUAAGUGUCUCACAGACAGGUAGCUUAGAGAGCGUGGAUACAUCGGACAAAGGGAUGAUUCACAUACUUGGUGGAAUAGAGCGUGAUAACAUGACAUGCUACUCAGAAUGGUGUCCAAUUUAAAACUUGUGAGUUGUUUAUUUCAGGAAUUUUCCAUUUGAUAUUUUCAGACUGUGGUUGACUGUGGGUUACUGAAACUGCAAAUAGCAAAAUCAUGGAUAAGAGGACACGACUGUAUUCUCAUCUAGUUAGCCCUUUAACAGGAAGGAAUUUAUCCUGUUAUAUUUUGUGACAAGAACCUGAACCAUUUCAUUUUGCUAAAAGAGCAUGUCACAGUACUCUUUCUUUAUAAAAUUCAUGUGCCAAAAUCUGUGGUUUCUAACUGCACAAAUGCUAAAGAAAGAGAAAGGCAGGCAUCCAAAAGAAAUGGACAAUGUGAAUUUAAAAAUAAUUGAAUGCAUUAUUGUAAUCUAUGUUUGUAAAUACAAAAAUGAAAACCUGCCCAGGCACAGUGGCUCACGCCUGUAAUCCCAGCACUUUGAGAGGCCGAGGUGGGCGGAUCACGAGGUCAAGAGAUCAAGGCCAUCCUGGCCAACAUGGUGAAAUCCCGUCUCUACUAAAAAUAGAAAAAAAAUUAGAUGGGCACGGUGGCGUGCACCUGUAGUCCCAGCUACUCGCAAGGCUGAGGCAGGAGAAUUGCUUGAACCCGGGAGGCAGAGGUUGCAGUGAGCCGAGAUGGCACCACUGCACUCCAGCCUGGCGACAGAGUGAGACUACAUCUCAAAAAAAAAAAAUAAAGAAGGAACGAAAGAAGGAAGGAAGGAAGGAAGGAAGGAAGGAAAUGUUUUAUUAUGAAAUGAAGAUGACAUUUUCUUUUCAACAAAAUUAUGGACCAUCAAGGUUUAUAAAAAUUAAAGUACUACAUUUUGAUGAUGCACAUUCUAGAAAAACCAGAAGUGAUAAUAUAUAAUAGAACUUAUUAAAGAUAUAUUCAAAAUUUGAAAUUGGUAUCUGCAAGAUGAAUACACUGAAGGCUCAUAGAUGAUAACUGAUGAGCUGUUUGUUUCUUUCUGAAGAUAUUUCCCAUUUGAAGUAUAUACAUCUUUGAAAACAGGGAAUAUAAGAUAGAAACAUUUUGUUUUACUAUAUUUAAAUUCUUAUCAAAACUUUCACUUUCCCUUUAUUUCUACUCCUGUAAACUAUUAGAAAAACUAAAUAAUUUUUUUUAAUAAUUAAAACUCCAAGAGGUUGAUAGAGAAAAUUACUCAUUCCUGGUAUACUGAGAUUAGAAUGUAUAUUUUCUAUGUCUUCAUUGUAUACUUAUCAAGUUAUCCUUUUUAAUACAAUUAUUUAUGUCUUAGCUUACCUCUUUUCUGGACCACCAGCUUGCUGAGAGGAUUCAACAACUACUUACUGAAUAAACAUUAAAAUUCCCGAAACUUUUGUUGUGUGAAAAUAAUUAAAUGAUUGGAAUUAGAGUGAAUAUGUUUUUAUGGAACUAUGCCUACCUUGGAGCAGGAUUUUUUUCAGAAGUCUAAAGCAAAGCUAAAUGGUACCUAGUCUUGUCUAAUACAAGCAGUGAGCUCUGAAAUACAUUAAACCAUUAAAUAACAGUGACUAUAAUGCAAUUACAUUUGACCUCUUCUCAGCGAGAUUUAACCAAAAAUAUAGUUAAGCACCACUAAAGUUCAAGAAAAGGAUCUUAAUAAAAUGAGAGUACUAACUUAUUCCUUGAGGCUCUUUCUA